GACGAACGCUGGCGGCGUGCUUAACACAUGCAAGUCGAACGGAAGGGCCCUGCUUUUGUGGGGUGCUCGAGUGGCGAACGGGUGAGUAACACGUGAGUAACCUGCCCUUGACUUUGGGAUAACUUCAGGAAACUGGGGCUAAUACCGGAUAGGAGCUCCUGCUGCAUGGUGGGGGUUGGAAAGUUUCGGCGGUUGGGGAUGGACUCGCGGCUUAUCAGCUUGUUGGUGGGGUAGUGGCUUACCAAGGCUUUGACGGGUAGCCGGCCUGAGAGGGUGACCGGCCACAUUGGGACUGAGAUACGGCCCAGACUCCUACGGGAGGCAGCAGUGGGGAAUAUUGCACAAUGGGCGGAAGCCUGAUGCAGCAACGCCGCGUGCGGGAUGAAGGCCUUCGGGUUGUAAACCGCUUUCGCCUGUGACGAAGCGUGAGUGACGGUAAUGGGUAAAGAAGCACCGGCUAACUACGUG
rnacentral:rRNA from 1 species